rnacentral:rRNA from 1 species
GGGUUGUGAGGUUAAGCGACUAAGCGUACACGGUGGAUGCCCUGGCAGUCAGAGGCGAUGAAGGACGUGCUAAUCUGCGAUAAGCGUCGGUAAGGUGAUAUGAACCGUUAUAACCGGCGAUUUCCGAAUGGGGAAACCCAGUGUGAUUCGUCACACUAUCAUUAACUGAAUCCAUAGGUUAAUGAGGCGAACCGGGGGAACUGAAACAUCUAAGUACCCCGAGGAAAAGAAAUCAACCGAGAUUCCCCCAGUAGCGGCGAGCGGACGGGGAGCAGCCCAGAGCCUGAAUCAGUGUGUGUGUUAGUGGAAGCGUCUGGAAAGGCGUGCGAUACAGGGUGACAGCCCCGUACACAAAAAUGCACAUAUUGUGAGCUUGAUGAGUAGGGCGGGACACGUGGUAUCCUGUCUGAAUAUGGGGGGACCAUCCUCCAAGGCUAAAUACUCCUGACUGACCGAUAGUGAACCAGUACCGUGAGGGAAAGGCGAAAAGAACCCCGGCGAGGGGAGUGAAAAAGAACCUGAAACCGUGUACGUACAAGCAGUGGGAGCACGCUUAGGCGUGUGACUGCGUACCUUUUGUAUAAUGGGUCAGCGACUUAUAUUCUGUAGCAAGGUUAACCGAAUAGGGGAGCCGAAGGGAAACCGAGUCUUAACUGGGCGUUAAGUUGCAGGGUAUAGACCCGAAACCCGGUGAUCUAGCCAUGGGCAGGUUGAAGGUUGGGUAACACUAACUGGAGGACCGAACCGACUAAUGUUGAAAAAUUAGCGGAUGACUUGUGGCUGGGGGUGAAAGGCCAAUCAAACCGGGAGAUAGCUGGUUCUCCCCGAAAGCUAUUUAGGUAGCGCCUCGUGAAUUCAUCUCCGGGGGUAGAGCACUGUUUCGGCAAGGGGGUCAUCCCGACUUACCAACCCGAUGCAAACUGCGAAUACCGGAGAAUGUUAUCACGGGAGACACACGGCGGGUGCUAACGUCCGUCGUGAAGAGGGAAACAACCCAGACCGCCAGCUAAGGUCCCAAAGUCAUGGUUAAGUGGGAAACGAUGUGGGAAGGCCCAGACAGCCAGGAUGUUGGCUUAGAAGCAGCCAUCAUUUAAAGAAAGCGUAAUAGCUCACUGGUCGAGUCGGCCUGCGCGGAAGAUGUAACGGGGCUAAACCAUGCACCGAAGCUGCGGCAGCGACGCUUAUGCGUUGUUGGGUAGGGGAGCGUUCUGUAAGCCUGCGAAGGUGUGCUGUGAGGCAUGCUGGAGGUAUCAGAAGUGCGAAUGCUGACAUAAGUAACGAUAAAGCGGGUGAAAAGCCCGCUCGCCGGAAGACCAAGGGUUCCUGUCCAACGUUAAUCGGGGCAGGGUGAGUCGACCCCUAAGGCGAGGCCGAAAGGCGUAGUCGAUGGGAAACAGGUUAAUAUUCCUGUACUUGGUGUUACUGCGAAGGGGGGACGGAGAAGGCUAUGUUGGCCGGGCGACGGUUGUCCCGGUUUAAGCGUGUAGGCUGGUUUUCCAGGCAAAUCCGGAAAAUCAAGGCUGAGGCGUGAUGACGAGGCACUACGGUGCUGAAGCAACAAAUGCCCUGCUUCCAGGAAAAGCCUCUAAGCAUCAGGUAACAUCAAAUCGUACCCCAAACCGACACAGGUGGUCAGGUAGAGAAUACCAAGGCGCUUGAGAGAACUCGGGUGAAGGAACUAGGCAAAAUGGUGCCGUAACUUCGGGAGAAGGCACGCUGAUAUGUAGGUGAAGUCCCUUGCGGAUGGAGCUGAAAUCAGUCGAAGAUACCAGCUGGCUGCAACUGUUUAUUAAAAACACAGCACUGUGCAAACACGAAAGUGGACGUAUACGGUGUGACGCCUGCCCGGUGCCGGAAGGUUAAUUGAUGGGGUCAGCGCAAGCGAAGCUCUUGAUCGAAGCCCCGGUAAACGGCGGCCGUAACUAUAACGGUCCUAAGGUAGCGAAAUUCCUUGUCGGGUAAGUUCCGACCUGCACGAAUGGCGUAAUGAUGGCCAGGCUGUCUCCACCCGAGACUCAGUGAAAUUGAACUCGCUGUGAAGAUGCAGUGUACCCGCGGCAAGACGGAAAGACCCCGUGAACCUUUACUAUAGCUUGACACUGAACAUUGAGCCUUGAUGUGUAGGAUAGGUGGGAGGCUUUGAAGUGUGGACGCCAGUCUGCAUGGAGCCGGCCUUGAAAUACCACCCUUUAAUGUUUGAUGUUCUAACGUGGACCCGUGAUCCGGGUUGCGGACAGUGUCUGGUGGGUAGUUUGACUGGGGCGGUCUCCUCCUAAAGAGUAACGGAGGAGCACGAAGGUUGGCUAAUCCUGGUCGGACAUCAGGAGGUUAGUGCAAUGGCAUAAGCCAGCUUGACUGCGAGCGUGACGGCGCGAGCAGGUGCGAAAGCAGGUCAUAGUGAUCCGGUGGUUCUGAAUGGAAGGGCCAUCGCUCAACGGAUAAAAGGUACUCCGGGGAUAACAGGCUGAUACCGCCCAAGAGUUCAUAUCGACGGCGGUGUUUGGCACCUCGAUGUCGGCUCAUCACAUCCUGGGGCUGAAGUAGGUCCCAAGGGUAUGGCUGUUCGCCAUUUAAAGUGGUACGCGAGCUGGGUUUAGAACGUCGUGAGACAGUUCGGUCCCUAUCUGCCGUGGGCGCUGGAGAACUGAGGGGGGCUGCUCCUAGUACGAGAGGACCGGAGUGGACGCAUCACUGGUGUUCGGGUUGUCAUGCCAAUGGCACUGCCCGGUAGCUAAAUGCGGAAGAGAUAAGUGCUGAAAGCAUCUAAGCACGAAACUUGCCCCGAGAUGAGUUCUCCCUGACCCUUUAAGGGUCCUGAAGGAACGUUGAAGACGACGACGUUGAUAGGCCGGGUGUGUAAGCGCAGCGAUGCGUUGAGCUAACCGGUACUAAUGAACCGUGAGG